CCGACCUUAGCUCAGUUGGUAGAGCGCGAGACUGUAAUGGUUAUCUUCGACUAUCUCGAUGCCGCCUGUUCGAUCCAGGCAGGUCGGA